CUACGGAGGGUGCAAGCGUUAAUCGGAAUUACUGGGCGUAAAGGGCGCGUAGGCGGUCUAUCAAGUCAGGUGUGAAAUCCCACGGCUCAACCGUGGAGGUGCAUCUGAAACUGAUAGACUUGAGUAUGGGAGAGGAAAGUGGAAUUCCCGGUGUAGAGGUGAAAUUCGUAGAUAUCGGGAGGAACACCAGUGGCGAAGGCGACUUUCUGGACCAAUACUGACGCUGAGGCGCGAAAGCGUGGGGAGCAAACAGGAUUAGAAACCCUAGUAGUCC
rnacentral:rRNA from 1 species